rnacentral:lncRNA from 1 species
GUUAUAUUUUGCGUUAUUAUGUGUGUCGUAUGUUGUUCUAUCUUAUGUUGUGUUGUUAUCAGGGCCGGCCCUGAGAGGGUGCAAACAGCUCAACAGAGCUGGGCCUCCUCCAGUCAUGGGCCUCAAUUUUUUUUUAAUACCCACUAGUACUACUGCCCUCCAAUUUUAUUUAAUACCCCUAGCCAUUUGUUGUCUGAAUUCUUAGGGACGGCCCUGGUUGUUAUAUUUAGCGUUAUUAUGUUCAGUACUUACUUUUUAGUAGCUCAAAGACAUUCAUAGUUUAAAAACUUAACUCGAACCAGAUGAUCGGAUCAGUCUUAUUAGGAACCUGAAGCAUGGCCAGCUUGAGCCAAACAUUUGACAGGCCAUGUGUGAGAACCGGCAAUUUUUAUUUAAAAAAAAUAAAAUAUAAAAAAGAAAGAUUGAUGAACCGGUGGCUCAUUCUUUUUUAGAAUAAAUAACGUAUUCAUUCAUUCAAAUUAUAUUGCAUCAUAAACAACAUACAUUAUAUGUCACUAGAACUAAAAAAGAUGAAAUUUUGAAUAAACCACAACAUCCUAGUUAAUAACAUAAAACAACAUAAUGCUUACAGAACUAAUAAAAUUAAAAUGACAAUAAUACUCAUGCCUCCUUGUGAUCAAUAGCGUUGAUGAUCAAGUUCUUUGUCGAAUCAAUAAUGAAUCGAAGCUAAUUUAUCAAUCUGAAUGAAACAAACACCGUAACAAAACAAGAAAACCAAACUACGCCGUACAAUGACAGAAAACAAAAACAAAACUUCAUGAAUAACACUUAUUUAGAAAAAAAAGAGACAAAAUAAAGAGAGAUUAUUUCGGAUAAAAAAUAACUGCAAACCAAGAGAACUUGGAGUUUCCUCACUGAAUGGUGAGGGCUAUAUCAAAUAUCAAUUUUCUUAGAUCAUCACUCCGGGCAUUUGAUGUGUUUGGUGAUGUACUAAAAGACAAGAGGAGAGUGU